GGGGAAUUUUGGACAAUGGGGGCAACCCUGAUCCAGCCAUGCCGCGUGAGUGAAGAAGGCCUUCGGGUUGUAAAGCUCUUUCGGACGGAAAGAAAUCGCCGCCUCUAACAUAGGCGGUGGAUGACGGUACCGUCAGAAGCAGCCCCGGCUAACUACGUUCCAGCAGCCGCGGUAAUACGUAGGGUGCGAGCGUUAAUCGGAAUUACUGGGCGUAAAGCGUGCGCAGGCGGUUUGGUAAGACAGGUGUGAAAUCCCCGGGCUUAACCUGGGAACUGCGCUUGUGACUGCCAGGCUAGAGUACGGCAGAGGGGGAUGGAAUUCCACGUGUAGCACUGAAAUGCGUAGAGAUGUGGAGGAACACCGAUGGCGAAGGCAGCCCCCUGGGCCUGUACUGACGCUCAUGAACGAAAGCGUGUGGAGCAAACA
rnacentral:rRNA from 1 species